rnacentral:tRNA from 1 species
UAGUUAAUAGUAUAGUAGGGAAUACGGAAAAUUUUGGAUUUUUUGUCGGAGGUUCGAGUCCUUUUUA